AGUGAACGCUGGCGGUAGGCCUAACACAUGCAAGUCGAACGGCAGCACAGUAAGAGCUUGCUCUUACGGGUGGCGAGUGGCGGACGGGUGAGGAAUACAUCGGAAUCUACUUUUUCGUGGGGGAUAACGUAGGGAAACUUACGCUAAUACCGCAUACGACCUACGGGUGAAAGCAGGAGAUCUUCGGACCUUGCGCGAUUGAAUGAGCCGAUGUCGGAUUAGCUAGUUGGCGGGGUAAAGGCCCACCAAGGCGACGAUCCGUAGCUGGUCUGAGAGGAUGAUCAGCCACACUGGAACUGAGACACGGUCCAGACUCCUACGGGAGGCAGCAGUGGGGAAUAUUGGACAAUGGGCGCAAGCCUGAUCCAGCCAUACCGCGUGGGUGAAGAAGGUCUUCGGGUUGUAAAGCCCUUUUGUUGGGAAAGAAAAGCAGCAGGUUAAUCCCCCGCUGUUCUGACGGUACCCAAAGAAUAAGCACCGGCCAACUUCGUG
rnacentral:rRNA from 1 species